rnacentral:rRNA from 1 species
CUCUUUUCAAAAAUUUAUGGAAAGUAGCCUCUGCUCAGUGUGAUUUUAUGAAUAGCCGCAGUAUUUUGACUGUGCUAAGGUAGCAUAAUAAAUUGGUUCUUAUAAUAGAAGUCUGGAAUGAAUGAGUUGACAACAUUAGAGCUUUCUUAUAUUAAUCUAAAGAAAUUGAUUUCUUCAUAAAAAAGUGAAGCUCUUUAAAAAGACGAUAAGACCCUAUAAAGCUUUACUUUUUAUUUUUUAAAUUCAUCAGGAUAUAAAAAUUUAAGGAAGAAAAGUUAAGCUGGGGCGGCAGCUAUUACUCGAUAGAAGAUUUAACAAAUAAUGUUUGGUUUAAAAGAUCUUAAGAAAAAGAUAGAACAAGCUACUUUAGGGAUAACAGCACAAUUUUUUCUUAGAGAUCUUAUUAAUGGAAAAGACUUGUGACCUCGAUGUUGAAUUGAGGGGCUUUUUUCGAGCAGGCACGAAAGAAAGGGGUCUGUUCGACCUUUAAUUCCUC